rnacentral:rRNA from 1 species
GACGAACGCUGGCGGCGUGCCUAAUACAUGCAAGUUGAGCGAUGAAGAUUGGUGCUUGCACCAAUUUGAAGAGCAGCGAACGGGUGAGUAACGCGUGGGGAAUCUGCCUUUGAGCGGGGGACAACAUUUGGAAACGAAUGCUAAUACCGCAUAACAACUUUAAACAUAAGUUUUAAGUUUGAAAGAUGCAAUUGCAUCACUCAAAGAUGAUCCCGCGUUGUAUUAGCUAGUUGGUGAGGUAAAGGCUCACCAAGGCGAGGAUACAUAGCCGACCUGAGAGGGUGAUCGGCCACAUUGGGACUGAGACACGGCCCAAACUACUACGGGAGGCAGCAGUAGGGAAUCUUCGGCAAUGGACGAAAGUCUGACCGAGCAACGCCGCGUGAGUGAAGAAGGUUUUCGGAUCGUAAAACUCUGUUGGUAGAGAAGAACGUUGGUGAGAGUGGAAAGCUCAUCAAGUGACGGUAACUACCCAGAAAGGGACGGCUAACUACGUG